AACGCAUCUUGCGCUCCUUGGUAUUCCGAGGAGCAUGCCUGUUUGAGUGUCAUUUAAAACUUCUCAACCAUUUGGAGUCUCUCCGGGUGGCUUGGAAAUGGGGGAUGUGCAGGCCAGCAAUGGUCUUGCUCCCCUGAAAUGAAUUAGUGGCAUCUGAGCAGAGACUACCACAGGUGUGAUAACUAUUGAUCAAUGCCUUGGUAUAUACUGCAGGUUGUUGCUGCUUCUAAUGUAAUGACCCAUUGACAAACUUGACCUCAAAUCAGGUAGGAUUACCCGCUGAACUUAA
rnacentral:misc_RNA from 1 species